rnacentral:rRNA from 1 species
GACGAACGCUGGCGGCGUGCUUAACACAUGCAAGUCGAGCGGUAAGGCCCUUUCGGGGGUACACGAGCGGCGAACGGGUGAGUAACACGUGGGUGACCUGCCCUCAGCUCUGGGAUAAGCCUGGGAAACCGGGUCUAAUACCGGAUAUGACUCCAUGACGCAUGUUGUGGGGUGGAAAGCCUUGUGCGGCUGAGGAUGGGCCCGCGGCCUAUCAGCUUGUUGGUGGGGUGANGGCCUACCAAGGCGACGACGGGUAGCCGGCCUGAGAGGGCGACCGGCCACACUGGGACUGAGACACGGCCCAGACUCCUACGGGAGGCAGCAGUGGGGAAUCUUGCGCAAUGGGCGAAAGCCUGACGCAGCGACGCCGCGUGAGGGA